rnacentral:rRNA from 1 species
UUAAGCGACUAAGCGUACACGGUGGAUGCCCUGGCAGUCAGAGGCGAUGAAGGACGUGCUAAUCUGCGAUAAGCGUCGGUAAGGUGAUAUGAACCGUUAUAACCGGCGAUUUCCGAAUGGGGAAACCCAGUGUGAUUCGUCACACUAUCAUUAACUGAAUCCAUAGGUUAAUGAGGCGAACCGGGGGAACUGAAACAUCUAAGUACCCCGAGGAAAAGAAAUCAACCGAGAUUCCCCCAGUAGCGGCGAGCGAACGGGGAGCAGCCCAGAGCCUGAAUCAGUGUGUGUGUUAGUGGAAGCGUCUGGAAAGGCGCGCGAUACAGGGUGACAGCCCCGUACACAAAAAUGCACAUGCUGUGAGCUCGAUGAGUAGGGCGGGACACGUGGUAUCCUGUCUGAAUAUGGGGGGACCAUCCUCCAAGGCUAAAUACUCCUGACUGACCGAUAGUGAACCAGUACCGUGAGGGAAAGGCGAAAAGAACCCCGGCGAGGGGAGUGAAAAAGAACCUGAAACCGUGUACGUACAAGCAGUGGGAGCCUCUUUAUGGGGUGACUGCGUACCUUUUGUAUAAUGGGUCAGCGACUUAUAUUCUGUAGCAAGGUUAACCGAAUAGGGGAGCCGAAGGGAAACCGAGUCUUAACUGGGCGUUAAGUUGCAGGGUAUAGACCCGAAACCCGGUGAUCUAGCCAUGGGCAGGUUGAAGGUUGGGUAACACUAACUGGAGGACCGAACCGACUAAUGUUGAAAAAUUAGCGGAUGACUUGUGGCUGGGGGGGAAAGGCCAAUCAAACCGGGAGAUAGCUGGUUCUCCCCGAAAGCUAUUUAGGUAGCGCCUCGUGAAUUCAUCUCCGGGGGUAGAGCACUGUUUCGGCAAGGGGGUCAUCCCGACUUACCAACCCGAUGCAAACUGCGAAUACCGGAGAAUGUUAUCACGGGAGACACACGGCGGGUGCUAACGUCCGUCGUGAAGAGGGAAACAACCCAGACCGCCAGCUAAGGUCCCAAAGUCAUGGUUAAGUGGGAAACGAUGUGGGAAGGCCCAGACAGCCAGGAUGUUGGCUUAGAAGCAGCCAUCAUUUAAAGAAAGCGUAAUAGCUCACUGGUCGAGUCGGCCUGCGCGGAAGAUGUAACGGGGCUAAACCAUGCACCGAAGCUGCGGCAGCGACGCUUAUGCGUUGUUGGGUAGGGGAGCGUUCUGUAAGCCUGCGAAGGUGUACUGUGAGGUAUGCUGGAGGUAUCAGAAGUGCGAAUGCUGACAUAAGUAACGAUAAAGCGGGUGAAAAGCCCGCUCGCCGGAAGACCAAGGGUUCCUGUCCAACGUUAAUCGGGGCAGGGUGAGUCGACCCCUAAGGCGAGGCCGAAAGGCGUAGUCGAUGGGAAACAGGUUAAUAUUCCUGUACUUGGUGUUACUGCGAAGGGGGGACGGAGAAGGCUAUGUUGGCCGGGCGACGGUUGUCCCGGUUUAAGCGUGUAGGCUGGUUUUCCAGGCAAAUCCGGAAAAUCAAGGCUGAGGCGUGAUGACGAGGCACUACGGUGCUGAAGCAACAAAUGCCCUGCUUCCAGGAAAAGCCUCUAAGCAUCAGGUAACAUCAAAUCGUACCCCAAACCGACACAGGUGGUCAGGUAGAGAAUACCAAGGCGCUUGAGAGAACUCGGGUGAAGGAACUAGGCAAAAUGGUGCCGUAACUUCGGGAGAAGGCACGCUGAUAUGUAGGUGAAGUCCCUCGCGGAUGGAGCUGAAAUCAGUCGAAGAUACCAGCUGGCUGCAACUGUUUAUUAAAAACACAGCACUGUGCAAACACGAAAGUGGACGUAUACGGUGUGACGCCUGCCCGGUGCCGGAAGGUUAAUUGAUGGGGUUAGCGGUAACGCGAAGCUCUUGAUCGAAGCCCCGGUAAACGGCGGCCGUAACUAUAACGGUCCUAAGGUAGCGAAAUUCCUUGUCGGGUAAGUUCCGACCUGCACGAAUGGCGUAAUGAUGGCCAGGCUGUCUCCACCCGAGACUCAGUGAAAUUGAACUCGCUGUGAAGAUGCAGUGUACCCGCGGCAAGACGGAAAGACCCCGUGAACCUUUACUAUAGCUUGACACUGAACAUUGAGCCUUGAUGUGUAGGAUAGGUGGGAGGCUUUGAAGUGUGGACGCCAGUCUGCAUGGAGCCGACCUUGAAAUACCACCCUUUAAUGUUUGAUGUUCUAACGUUGGCCCCUGAUCGGGGUUGCGGACAGUGUCUGGUGGGUAGUUUGACUGGGGCGGUCUCCUCCUAAAGAGUAACGGAGGAGCACGAAGGUUGGCUAAUCCUGGUCGGACAUCAGGAGGUUAGUGCAAUGGCAUAAGCCAGCUUGACUGCGAGCGUGACGGCGCGAGCAGGUGCGAAAGCAGGUCAUAGUGAUCCGGUGGUUCUGAAUGGAAGGGCCAUCGCUCAACGGAUAAAAGGUACUCCGGGGAUAACAGGCUGAUACCGCCCAAGAGUUCAUAUCGACGGCGGUGUUUGGCACCUCGAUGUCGGCUCAUCACAUCCUGGGGCUGAAGUAGGUCCCAAGGGUAUGGCUGUUCGCCAUUUAAAGUGGUACGCGAGCUGGGUUUAGAACGUCGUGAGACAGUUCGGUCCCUAUCUGCCGUGGGCGCUGGAGAACUGAGGGGGGCUGCUCCUAGUACGAGAGGACCGGAGUGGACGCAUCACUGGUGUUCGGGUUGUCAUGCCAAUGGCACUGCCCGGUAGCUAAAUGCGGAAGAGAUAAGUGCUGAAAGCAUCUAAGCACGAAACUUGCCCCGAGAUGAGUUCUCCCUGACUCCCUGAGAGUCCUGAAGGAACGUUGAAGACGACGACGUUGAUAGGCCGGGUGUGUAAGCGCAGCGAUGCGUUGAGCUAACCGGUACUAAUGAACCGUGAGGCUUAACCUU